GGGGAAUAUUGGACAAUGGGCGCAAGCCUGAUCCAGCAAUGCCGCGUGGGUGAAGACGGUCUGCGGAUUGUAAAGCCCUUUAGGCGGGGAGGAACGUCGUCGUGCGAACAGUGCGGCGAUCUGACGUUACCCGCAGAAUAAGCACCGGCUAACUCCGUGCCAGCAGCCGCGGUAAUACGGAGGGUGCGAGCGUUAAUCGGAAUUACUGGGCGUAAAGCGUGCGUAGGCGGAUGGGUCAGUCAGCCGUGAAAGCCCCGGGCUCAACCUGGGAACGGCGGUUGAGACGGCCCGUCUCGAGUGGGCUAGAGGAUCGUGGAGUCCCGGGUGUAGCGGUGAAAUGCGUAGAGAUCCGGAGGAACACCGAUGGCGAAGGCAGCGAUCUGGGGCCACACUGACGCUGAGGCACGAAAGCGUGGGGAGCAAAC
rnacentral:rRNA from 1 species